UUUUCUCUGAAUGAUAAGUCAGCUAGGUGCCAAAUAUAUAUAUGUCAAUGUCACAUAUGAAAACUCCAAUGACACGUGGUUCUUGAAUUAUUCGUGUGAUGUACAUGAGUACAUCACUCAAUUCCAAAAAAAAAAAAAAAUCCAGAAAGUAACACGUCCUUUUACUAAUUAAUUUUCAUAAGGAUAUAUUAAAAGGAAAUUUACAUACAUUACUAACUUUUUCUAAUUUAUUAUUUUUUUUUACUGUAACAUAUUUAUUGUUACAUUUAUACUGUUUUUUUUUUUCUAUUGUGUCAAUUAUUUUUCCCAAAACAUUUUAUCAUAAUAAUAAUAAAUAAAUAAAAUAAUGAGUAGUUAGUGUCCCCCCACAUCAAAAUUUAAAUUUUUUAUUUUAUUAGAGAGAUUGAUUGGACGUGAGAUGUGACAAAAGUGACAUCUUCUUUUAUUUAUUUUUUUAAUUUAAUUCUUUAUUAUUUUUUAAUAUUUAAUAAAUUAUUAUAUACAUCUGACUUUCCAAUAUAUUACUACUCAUCUUCUUAUAUAAAUCAUUAACUUCUCUUCAUUUAUAAACAAACAAGUGUGAAGAGUUAGCUUUCUUGAGAAACCAACGACACCUCACCAUGUAAUAGUAAUUGCUCUUCUUCUGUUCUUCUUCUUCUUCUUCAUGGGUCUCUUUCUUUUGUUUUUUUUUUGUUUCAAAAUCUAUACACUUAUUAUCUUUUUUUCUCACUAUCUUCCACUUUAAGUUCUCUUACUCUCUCCAUUAACAUAUAAAUUUUUUAUUUUAUUUCUUGUUCAGUUCUUCUUCUUCAUCUUCUUCUCAUUUUUUUAGUUUUUCUAAUUUUUAGUCACACUUUUGGGGGGAAAUAAAAGAGUGGUUUUUUUAUUUUGAUUUUCUAGAUCUGUUCUUGCAAAUAUAGGUUCUGGUACUUCAAAGAACACUAAAUCAAAAAUACCCUCAAUCUGUGUUGGAGAACUCCGACUCUAAUUUUGAGUUUGAGCCAAAGUUCCAAAGUCUCCCAAAUCUGAUAAGGGAAAGGGUAAAUACCAAGUGAAGAUUGUUCAAUCAAUUGAUUUGUUUGAAGACAUCAUUAGGAAAAGGGUUGUCGAGGAUGGGAAUCCAAGUACACCCGAUCGGAAUACUACCAUUCCAGAGUUUUUUUAUGCUUGUUUUUUAUGUUCUUUAUUUUUUUUGUGUUGUUUUAGUAGUGUUUUCUUAUAGUUUUUUAUAGGAUUGUCACAUUCUCUUGAAAUAAUUAUGUUCUUUUUCCCAUUGUCCAUUGCUCUUUAUGAGAACUGGUAUAGAUUCCAUGUCCUGUCAUUUUUUACAAUAUUUCAUUUAUGUGGCCUUUUUUUUCAUAUUAAAACAACAGUAAAAUAACACUACAAAACAGUAAUUUGUUGUUGAUUUAGUAAAUUUUUCUCUUUGCCAGAUUUUAUAGUUUUUUCCUGGUGUUUCUAUGAUUCUGGUGUUGAUUUGUCCGUCCCCAACCACGAAGGAGAGGUGCCGUUUUGUGUUUUGUUACUGUUUACAGUAUAAAAGUAAAUGCAUUGGGCAUGGACAGUAUAAAAGAAAUAAAAAUGGGUUUAGACAGUAAAAAUGUAAAGUUUGCUGCGUCACAGUAUUUUUGAAAAUAUUUGACCAAAAAAUAGUAUUUUUGUAAGUUUUCCUAUACUAAACUAUGAUCAAUUCCUAUUUAGAAUUUAGCAUUAGAAAAUUCAAACAAAUUAUUACAAAUAUGCCUACUAAGUUGAAUCAUUCAAAAAUAAAAAUACAACACACCUCUUUUUGUGGUGUAUACCAUUAGCAUAAAUGGAUAGAAUAUAGGGAAAAAAUUACACCGAGUAUUGUAUUUCCAAUUUUUUUUAUACUGUUAUACAUUGAUUUUUACUUUUAUAAUAUAUUUUAUUUAAUUUUUCUACUGCCAUGUACUAACUUUUAUUAACGAGAACUUACACAUUUGUUCAUCAGUGUAACGCCCUUAUAUUUUGCCUUACUUUAUCAAAAUACCAUUUUAAAUGCAUAAUUUGAAAAGAUAAAAAAAAAUCCUUUAAAUACAACAAUGGAUUUUAGAAAUCAAAUGCAAUAGAGAAGGAUCCUUCAUUUGUAAAACAAAAUACGAUAAGUAAAUAAUUUUAAAUAAUACAUAUUUUCAUUGUGUUUAGAUUUUUCAACUGCUUAAAAUAAAACAGGCACCACCGGCGUUCUAGAUCGUUUGCUCGUCCGUAGCCACUCACAGUAUACGUACCAGAACUGACCCUGCUCACUAUACAUACUUCCCUGUCUAAUACCUGUAGGGGAAAGUAAGGGGGUGAGCUAAAAGCUCAGUAAGGAAAUGCUUAUCAUAAAAUACCAUAUAAUAUCACACAUACCAUUACUGUAUUUAUUAAGUUUUAGCAAUAUCAUACACUUUAUUUUAUAACCAUAACCAAAUAACUGUAUACAUAGAAACCUUUAUCAUAUAGAUCCAUAAAAAUUGUUCACACCAUACAUAUAUACAGAGAUCAUAACUCCAGUAUCACACUCAUAACAUAAUCGUAUCAAUACUAUAAAUAAUAAUGCCAUUACCAUAAUAUUGGCAUAUCAUAACCAUUACUUACAUAACCCGGGCCUAGCUUGGCCCUACAAUAUCCUGGGCCUAAUCUACCCAUAUAAUAACCUGGGCCUAUGCAACCCUACUAUUGUUAUAGGAUAGAGUAUCUCUAUAUUCAACAGUAACAUCACUGUAUCAUACCCACCAUAAAAAUCUCAUACACGACUCAGUAAAAUGUAGGGUAGGGUAUCUCUACAUUCAACGGCCUUAUCCCGUAUCAUACCCCACCAUGGUCACUCACUUUACCUGAGACGUUAGCAUACAACAUAUAACAUACAACAUACACCAUACACCACACACCAUACACCAUACACCAUACACCAUACACCAUACAAUAUACAUCAUACAACAUACAACAUUAUGCAAGUCAUAACAACCAUAAUUUAUAUAUCAAUUUACGAAUAUUGUGUCCAUACCACACAU